UCAAGAACGAAAGUUGGGGGCUCGAAGACGAUUAGAUACCGUGUAGUCUCAACCAUAAACGAUGCCGACUCGGGAUUGGCGGGUGUUUAUUCGAUGACUCCGCCAGCACCGUAUGAGAAAUCAAAGUUUCUGGGUUCCGGGGGGAGUAUGGUCGCAAGGCUGAAACUUAAAGGAAUUGACGGAAGGGCACCACCAGGCGUGGAGCCUGCGGCUCAAUUUGACUCAACACGGGAAAACUUACCAGGUCCAGACGUAGGAAGGAUUGACAGAUUGAUAGCUCUUUCUUGAUUCUUAUGGGUGGUGGUGCAUGGCCGUUCUUAGUUGGUGGGUUGCCUUGUCAGGUUGAUUCCGGUAACGAACGAGACCUCAGCCUGCUAAAUAGUCACGGCUGCAUCCGCAGUUGGCAAACUUCUUAGAGGGACUGUUGGCGACUAGCCAACGGAAGUAUGAGGCAAUAACAGGUCUGUGAUGCCCUUAGAUGUUCUGGGCCGCACGCGCGCUACACUGAUACGUUCAACAAGUUCCUUGGCUCGAAAGGCCUGGGUAAUCUUUGAAACCGUAUCGUGAUGGGGAUAGAACAUUGCAAUUAUUGUUCUUCAACGAGGAAUGCCUAGUAACCGCGAGUCAUCAUCUCGCGUUGAUUACGUCCCUGCCCUUUGUACACACCGCCCGUCGCUCCUACCGAUUGGAUGUGCUGGUGAAGACUUCGGAUCGGCCACGCAACUAGGUUCUCCUGGUGGCGGAGUCGAGAAGUUGUUUAAACCCUCCCAUUUAGAGGAAGGAGAAGUCGUAACAAGGUUUCCCGUAGGUGAACCUGCGGAAGGAUCA
rnacentral:rRNA from 1 species